rnacentral:rRNA from 1 species
UAUGAAAGGUUGGAUGAGAAAUAUAUUUUCUUUAUUUUAAAUAUAGAAUUUAAUUUUUAAGUUAAAAAGCUUAGAUGUCUUUAUGGGACGAGAAGACCCUAUAGAAUUUUAUAUUUAUUUAUAUAUUUAUGUUUUUGUAUAUUAUUUAUGGAUAUAUUAUUAUAUAUUUUAUUGGGGUGAUAGGAAAAAUUUAAUAACUUUUUUACUUUUUUUCAUUUAUAUAUGUUUUGAUCCAUUAAUAUUGAUUAUUAGAUUAAAUUACCUUAGGGAUAACAGCGUUAUUAUUUUGGAGAGUUCAUAUCGAUGAAAUAGUUUGCGACCUCGAUGUUGGAUUAAAAUUAGUGUUGGGUGCAGUAUUUUAAAUACUAGGUCUGUUCGACCUUUAAUUUUUUACAUGAUCUAGUUUUCCAACCGGGGAACCCAAAAAUUUGUUUUUUUAACACCCCACCCCCCCCA